CCAGACUCCUACGGGAGGCAGCAGUGGGGAAUAUUGCACAAUGGGGGAAACCCUGAUGCAGCGACGCCGCGUGAGUGAAGAAGUAUUUCGGUAUGUAAAGCUCUAUCAGCAGGGAAGAAAAUGACGGUACCUGACUAAGAAGCCCCGGCUAACUACGUGCCAGCAGCCGCGGUAAUACGUAGGGGGCAAGCGUUAUCCGGAUUUACUGGGUGUAAAGGGAGCGUAGACGGCAUGGCAAGUCAGAUGUGAAAGCCCGGGGCUCAACCCCGGGACUGCAUUUGAAACUGUCAGGCUGGAGUGCAGGAGAGGUAAGUGGAAUUCCUAGUGUAGCGGUGAAAUGCGUAGAUAUUAGGAGGAACACCAGUGGCGAAGGCGGCUUGCUGGACCGUAACUGACGUUGAGGCUCGAAAGCGUGGGGAGCAAACAGGAUUAGAUACCCGAGUA
rnacentral:rRNA from 1 species